CAACCCACUUCUCCUCCCCACGCACGCCACCUCCUUUCCCCCUCUCCCUCUCAGACCCACUCGCCGCGAAGACUAGAGGCAGAACGCGGCACGCGUCGGUCGACGAGGAGGAGCUGCGCCGCCGCCGGAGCACCGACUGCAUCUACUACCUCGCGCUCCCCGUUGACCUUCAAGAAGGGAAAGCAUUCUCCAGUUGUUUGUGAACGCCAUUGCUCAGGGCUCCAUGUGCACAUUCACAAACAUUAGUCGCCAAUGGAGCAGAGCGCCAUUGCUGAUGUAGCUUAAAAUGGUGAUCAGUGACCGACUGAGUGUGCUUGAAGUUUGAGGUGGAGUGCAAGGAGGAGGACACCCGGGUGGAGAUCUACUGCGCCGCCAAGCCGGGGCUACUGCUGUCGAUGGUGAGCACACUGUCCCUCAACAUCCAGCAGUGCGUCGUCGACUGCUUCAACGACUUCGCCAUGCACGCCUCCUUCUCCAAGAUGCAGAGGGAGAUGUGCUGCUGGAUCUUAUAAGGAGGUCACUCUGACAAGACUGGCUAGCUGUGAUUCUCGUGGGAAUAAAGAGGAUGGGACCUGUGAUUGUCAUGGAUCUGGAGGUGACACUGAUCAGGAAGGUAAGUUUACUACGAUCUGGAGUAAUAUUACUAGAUUGCAAAUCAUGAAUUUAGUAGUUACUGCAGAAUAUUGGUUAGUUGGUUCAGUUUACCUUUCAUGUUUAUAUGGUCUAACGACAUCUGACAUAGCAGAUGCUUGGUCCAGCUGGAGAUAGCUUACAUGGUUUUAUUUCACCAUAAUAUAUUUCCAACAAGAUCGUUCCCUAUUGUUUCCUGAAGAAAACUAACGAUCAAACUGUAGAAAAAACAUUGUUUAGAGGAGUUAAUAUACAAUUUGUUGUCUUGCAAUUGGCUUCUAAAAUUUACAGCAGGAGUACGCAAUGAGUUUGAACAAAUGAAUGCAAAACCUAGCAGAUUUUGCGAUGUUACUGUUUCUUGAUAUCUUCCUCAUUUGUAUUAUGUGUAUUCCUUAGUUGACAGCUAUUUUAAUGUAUACUCUCCCCUUAUUUUGAGGAAACUUCACGGGGCAGAGGAUCACUACAAUUUUUUGUUUCAAAUAGGAAAUGAACAAAACAUGAUUUUGCCAACCUCUCAUGUAGUAUAUAUGUACCUAUUUCAUAAAGUACAUCGGUUUAAAUACAAGUUUGCAACUCAUGACGAUGAGUCGAGGAGUGAAAGAAGUUUGGAACUCACACAAGUGUCAUACUCGCAUGACCAAAUCAGGCUACGAAGACAAGUCUUCAUGCGCACAUGAUUGCCGAUUUUAGUUACACAGUACCAUUUAAAAAGCGGCUGACAUUUGAUGAAUUGCCGAAGGGUGGUGGCUGGACACCAUGGGGGACAGUGUUCCAAGAUGGUUAGACGUUAGCUACUGAUUCACAAUCUAUCAAUCCUAUCUUCAUGUAUCUGUGUGUGUUAGGUACAUCUACUUGAUUUCUUCUUCUGAUUUAGGGAGGUCUUUAGAAUCUGAGAGGAAAUUGAUGUAAAAUUUAUUUUCCUAUUCUUGGAAACUCUUGCUUAGGAAAAUCAUAAUGUUCUUUUCAUUGUACAAGCAGUACAAGGUCCAACAUGGUUGUGCUGAUGUCUAGGUUUCGACUUCCUUGUGAGGUGCCCUCCUCUUGAGUAUGCCAAUACUUCACGGUGGUGAGGUCUGUCUCGAUGGUAGACCGGUUGAUUGAUUAAAUGGCAAUAGGAGCAGCUUAGUGAGCCAGUGAUGCAACUGUGCAUCGUCUCUUGACGCACCACUGUCGACCCCAGCUACUGCAUGUACAUAUGAUAUGCCAAUACUUCACGGUGGUGAGGUCUGUCUCGAUGGUAGACCGGUUGAUUGAUUAAAUGGCAAUAGGAGCAGCUUAGUGAGCCAGUGAUGCAACUGUGCAUCGUCUCUUGACGCACCACUGUCGACCCCAGCUACUGCAUGUACAUAUGAUCCAUGUAUCGUGUUUAGUUUCUCACUAAGACUUGGUAUGCUUGUGUUGUGAUGAUUCGAGGAACUCUACCUCUUUUGGAGAUCGCCCACCUUUUGGAGACUGCUAAACCUUGA